CUUACGCGUGAAACAUUUCGUCUCUCUUCUCUACAGCGGUGACGCGUGACGCCUGCGAUUCUUCCCUCUCAACUGAAACGGCCUGGAUUAAGUUUCGUUCGAGCCGGUUCGUCUUAGAUUCGUCUCCUCCAAAACUACGGAUUCAUCAGUUCAUCGCCAUUAAGAAGCAAUUUACUCCUUUGACCCACAACUACCACAAUCAAACAUUCAAUGGUUCGUAUUCCUCUUCAGGGUGUUUAUCCUCCUAUAAAAAGGAAUCCAGGAUCGUAGCUCUAUAGGUUCACAUGAUCCAUCAAGACCCAAAAUGUUCAUAUUCAUCUGUAAAUCCAAUUGUUCCCAUAAAGGAAUAUAAUGAAAUCAUCUAAGCUGUUAGUCGGUCAGGCUAUCUUGGAAGACCACUGAAUAUCGAGAGUACUUUCAGAGUUUCCACUGGCUGUGCUCAUGGCUUUGGUUUUUUUUUCUUCGCUGGUCCCAGUGUUGUUGUGAUAGCCAUAUUGCUCAUUCACAUCACUGAUGUUAAAACUAUAGUUUUACUCGCUAAAAAGUUAAAUAGUAUUUCCAGAAGCGGUGGUGAUCACGAUGGCAGAGGAGGGGGUCGCGGUGGUGGUGGUCAUGAAGACCAUGUCGGCAUGGAGAAGAAGAAGAAUGCGAGGGAUCGAAAAGAUGUGGAAUGGUUCGUCGAUGGAUCUGGGACUAUUCUAAGGAUCACCGCUAUUCUAUUUAACUAGAGCAUGUGUCAUUCAAGUGUCAUGGAACCUUGGUAACAUUCGGAGUUGGUCCUGUGCUCAAACUCCGGUAUCCAAAAACAGAGUAGCGAUGGACAUUGCAGGUAGUGUGACGAGAGAGCACAGAUUCCAAUCUUAUAUUGCAAGGUUUGGCCCAAGUUGGCUACAAUAUCAUCUGCUUACUGAAGCUCAAGGGAUUAAGGGUGAAUUUCCAUUUUCAUGUCCCUUGUGCCAUUGCCUAAUUCGUUUUUCUUUAUUUUUUUUUGGAUGGAAACAGUUGAAUUUAUCAAAAGGAAUCAUUCAGUGUUAAAAAAAGAGCAUGCGCCAUUGGUAUCAACAAAUUUCAGGAUUUGAUUUUCGUAUUUUUUAUCAUAGUUGUAAGAAUAUUUGUAUCCGUUUGAGAUUUAAGAUUACACAUUUUGGUUUCAAC